rnacentral:rRNA from 1 species
UACGUAGGGGGCAAGCGUUGUCCGGAGUUACUGGGCGUAAAGCGCACGCAGGCGGUCGAUUAAGUUUGGAGUGACAGUUGGUGGCUUAACUGCCAAAGUGCUUUGAAAACUGAUCGACUUGAGGGCUUCAGAGGGACACGGAAUUCCGGGUGGAGUGGUGAAAUGCGUAGAUAUCGGGAGGAACACCUGUGGCGAAAACAGCUCACUGGACCACAACUGACGCUGAGGCGCGAAAGCUAGGGGAGCAAACAGG